UGGGGGAUUCUGGACAAUGGGCGAAAGCCUGAUCCAGCCAUGCCGCGUGAGUGAAGAAGGCCUUCGGGUUGUAAAGCUCUUUUAGUCGGAAAGAAAGAGUUGCAAUGAAUAAUUGUGAUUUAUGACGGUACCGACAGAAAAAGCACCGGCUAACUACGUGCCAGCAGCCGCGGUAAUACGUAGGGUGCGAGCGUUAAUCGGAAUUACUGGGCGUAAAGGGUGCGCAGGCGGUCUUGCAAAUCAGAUGUGAAAGCCCCGGGCUUAACCUGGGAAUUGCGUUUGAAACUACAAGGCUAGAGUGCAGCAGAGGGGAGUGGAAUUCCAUGUGUAGCAGUGAAAUGCGUAGAGAUGUGGAAGAACACCGAUGGCGAAGGCAGCUCCCUGGGUUGACACUGACGCUCAUGCACGAAAGCGUGGGGAGCAAACA
rnacentral:rRNA from 1 species